CACGCAGGCGGAUCGGUAAGUCAGAUGUGAAAUCCCGGAGCUCAACUCCGGAACUGCAUUUGAUACUGCCAGUCUUGAGUGAGGUAGAGGGGGGUGGAAUUCCCGGUGUAGAGGUGAAAUUCGUAGAUAUCGGGAGGAACACCAGAGGCGAAGGCGACCCCCUGGGCCUUUACUGACGCUGAGGUGCGAAAGCGUGGGGAGCAAACAG
rnacentral:rRNA from 1 species